UAAAAAGAAUCUAAAAUUUAGAUAAUAAUUUCGACUUAUUUUUUGGUAUAGUUUACCCUUUUUAU
rnacentral:tRNA from 1 species